rfam:Stegodyphus mimosarum contig68521, whole genome shotgun sequence.
GCCUUCGUGGUGUAGCGGUCAGCACGCUCGACUCGUAACCGAGAGGUCCGUGGUUCUAUUCCCGGCAAAGUCG